UACAGAGGGGGCAAGCGUUGUUCGGAAUUACUGGGCGUAAAGGGCGCGUAGGCGGCCUUCUAAGUCGAACGUGAAAUCCCUGGGCUCAACCCAGGAACUGCGUCCGAUACUGGAAGGCUUGAAUCCGGGAGAGGGAUGCGGAAUUCCAGGUGUAGCGGUGAAGUGCGUAGAUAUCUGGAGGAACACCGGUGGCGAAGGCGGCAUCCUGGACCGGCAUUGACGCUGAGGCGCGAAAGCCAGGGGAGCAAACGGG
rnacentral:rRNA from 1 species